AAACUGGUGGCAAUAUCUGGAUGAAUAAAACUGUAAAUUUUAUUGAACUCAGCAGAAAGU
rnacentral:tRNA from 1 species